rnacentral:rRNA from 1 species
UCAGGUAGGACUACCCGCCGAACUUAAGCAUAUCAAUAAGCGGAGGAAAAGAAACUAACGAGGAUUCCCCUAGUAACUGCGAGUGAAGCGGGAAAAGCUCGAAUUUCGUUCUGGGGC